AUGGAUCAAAACUCCUCCUGCUAUAGUGAGAUAUCAAACCUGCUCAAGACCAUAAACAAGAUACAAGCAGUUUUGGGUUUGUUUUCUGUGUUUAACUUUUUAGGGCCAUACCCUAAGGCUAGGGGUCCAGUUGGAGCUACAGCUGCCGACCUAUGCCAUGGCCACACAACACAGGAUCCAAGCCACGUCUGCAACCUACACCACAGCUCACGGCAACGCUGGAUCCUUAACCCACUGAGGAAGGCCAGGGAUCGAACCCACAACCUCACGAUUCCUAGUCAGAUUCCUUUCUGCUGCACCACAAUGGGAACUCCAAUGCAAGCAGUUAUAGAUUCCAAAAGCAUUGCUCAGUUAUAAGAGAAGACGAUUAAAAAAGCCGUGCAGGAGAAUAGAAGAAGCUAAAUAUAUCUCAGCCUCUAACAUCAUGUCAAUGAAAAGUAAAAUUUACCAAUUGGAUAACACACAUGUCUUGCACUGACCACUGUCUAUACUUGGAGUUGGUAGUUUUCAUUGAUCGAAUGCUGCCAAGUCCGUGAUAUUUCUAGCUAUUACCUCCAAUUUCUGGAAGGAAGAAGCCAAACAGUGAAUGUCUUAACAGGAGUAAAUGAAAACAGGUGCCAGGAAAACAGAAAGAUGAAUGUUAAGGUCCUAACAUAUGGCGACUAGAACUACCUUGGGUACCACAUGGUCCUGUGGAACUGGCCCUCCCUGUAUUGGACAUGUGAGCAUCCUUGCAUUUCUUCUGCAUUUUGUAGCCCUGGAUAUUCCUAGGCAACAUCCUACUAUCAUUUCUUUAUUUCAAAGCGUAAACUUACUAGCCCGAGGAGCUAUUAGUAUUGUGUUCACUAUUAAAUUCCCUGAUAGAAGUUCCUUAGAAAGCUGGGAAGUCAUUUCAUUUCUGGAGUGGUUUUGUUUUCCCUUGGAGCACAUGACUGGAGAGGUCAAUUAGGAUUGCCUUUUGGUCCUGGACUCUAAGAACUUCCCUUCCUCUCUUUCUUCUCCCAUCUCUGUCCCCUCUUCCUCCCUCCUACCUUCAUCUAGGGUUUGCCCCAUUUAGGAGAAAGGGUGGAGUUAGCUCUGAUCCCUGUGCUGGAGGACUUGCAAAUGAGAGGGAAGGAGGGAGGGAGGGUAAUGAGCGAUCUAGAGAGGGGGAAAGAGGGAAGCAGCAUUUGAGCCGAGGCUUGAAGGCUUGGUAGGACUCUGGCAGGUGGAUGAGGACAGGGACGGAUGCUGGGGUGGACAGGAUGGUGGGAGGAAGUGGCAGAGGUGUGGGCGGGCGUGAGGGAGGGAGGAUGGCAUUGGCAAGAAUGGUGGAGAGAGUGGAAUGGGGUUAGGGUGUUCCAAGGAGUUGAGGAUUAUUGUGUUUGGAUUAUUGUGCAGGGAUUUGGCUCAUCCUCCUGAUAAAUGUUCAUGAAAAGCUCUCGACAGAACGCAGCAGGUGUGUCGGGUGGAAUAUUUGCUUUUUUGAAGGGCUGCUGAACUUCCUAUGGAGACGACGAACUACCCACGAGGUGUCUGUGUUACCCACGUAUUUCACCCAAACACAGUCUAAAGAACACCUGGAUAGAACAUUUCACUUCUUACGGAGCUGGAAGAUUAGUUUGAAUCUAUAAUGAGUCUGUUUAUAUCCCCGAAGUAACACUGCGUGGUCUAGUCUGCUUUUAGAAUAUAAAUAAUAACUGCUUCACCAAAGACACCAUCCCUGGGCCCACAGGGGGCCCUUGGGGUCUCAGAAGAGUUGCAAGAUUAGAAUCCCAAGUGAUAACCUGAGAUGGAAUCAGAAAGGCGUUGACAGGCCCUGGAGAGCUGUGUAAGCCCCUUCCCACAUGAUGGGAGUGAGGCGAUCCACUUUCAGAAUAAAAUGUGUGUGUGUGUUUGUGUGUGUGUGGGGGGGAUAUGACAUAGGCCAACAGUGGGUGCUGUGCUGACCCUCAGGAAACCAAGUAGUUUGAGGUAAAUUGGGUUUUGAAGCUGAGGUCUCUUUCAUACAGGUGCUAUGCCCACGAACCAACAUUUGUCCCUACAAACUAAAGCAAUUUAUUUUCAGGUCUUAUUUCACCUAUAAGAUGAGCUAGGAAAAUAGCACUGGGUUUUUGUAUUAAAAAAGAGACUGUUGGAGUUCCCAUCAUGGCUCGGUGGUUAACGAAUCUAACUAGGAACCAUGAGGUUGCAGGUUCGAUCCCUGGCCUUGCUCAGUGGGUUAAGGAUCUGGUGUUGCCAUGAGCUGUGGUGUAGGUGGUAGACGGGGCUCGGGUCCCAUGUGCUGUGGCUGUGGCAUAGGCCGGUGGCUGCAUCUUCGAUUAGACCCUUAGCCUGGGAACCUCCAUAUGCCGCAGGAGUGGCCCUAGAAAAGGCAAAAACACAGUUGACCUGGAUGGACAUGUGGGGCAUUAUGCUAAGUGAAGUAAGUCAGACAGAGAAAGACAAAUGCUGUAUGAUAUCACUUAUAUGUGGAAUCAAAAAAAAAAAAUACAACACACUGGAGACUCUAACAGAAAAGGAACAGACUCACAGAUAUAUAGAGAACAAACUAGUGGUUACCAGUGGGGAAGGGCAAGAUAGCGAUAGGGGAUUAAGAGACACAAAAGAGGUAUAAAAGAAACUAUAAAGAGUUCCCAUUGUGGCUCAUUGGGUUAAGGACCCGACAUUGUCUCUGAGAGGAUGUGGGUUCAAUCCCUGGCCUCAGUCAAUGGGUUAAGGAUCCAGCGUUGCUGUCAUCCUCAGCGUAGGUCACAGUGGUUGGCUUGGAUCCGAUGUGGAUGUGGCUGUGGUGCAGGCCAGCAGCGGCACCUCCAAUUUGACGCCUAGUCUGGGAACUUCCAUAUUGCUGCAGGUGCCGCCCUAACAAGAAAAAGAUAAAUAAACUGCAAAGAUACAAUGUUUAAUACUGUUGUACGAUGCAGAGAAACUUGUCAAUAUUUUGUAAUACCUACCAAUGGAGUAUAACCUUUAAAGAUUGUGAAUCACUGUGUUGUACACCUGCUACAUAUAAUAGGUGCAUCAGCUAUACUUCGAUAAUGAAGAAAAGAAGACUUUGAGCCUCAAAAACAGAGGGAGAGAGUUGAAAAAUAAAAAUGAGAACACUGAUGCUAAACUCCUUGCCGCCCGCUCCUUCCCUCUGUUUCUGCCUUCGUUUUAGUCUGUAAACCCUGUGAUGAGGCAGCGUGGCUCCCUCCCCCACCCUGGGAAUAUUCCUGCUCUUGCUGGCAGAUCCCGUUUUAGACAUUCCCAGGGUGAUUCCUUGAACGCGGGCUCCCGCAUCAGAAGAGGCUUCUAUUCUCACCCUUCUUCUUGGCGUUGAGAUCAUGUACAGGGACUUGGGGGAGCUUGAGUUUUGCAUUAUGAAUAAAAAAGGACCCAUUUUUUUUUGAAGAUUAGAUUAUACUUUAUUGCCUCAUGUUUCCAUUUUUUUAAAAUAUAGUUGAUUUGCAAUGUUCUGUCAAUUUCGGCUGUACAGCAAAGUGACAUUUAUACAUAUACACGCAUUCUUUUUCUCAGAUUAUCUUCCAUCACGUUCCAUCCUAAGUGAUUGGAUAUAGUUCCCUGUGCUACAAGGACCCAUAAUUUUUAUAUCCUCUCUCGCCACCAAUCUCACCCCUGCCCCCAUCCAGUCUUGCCCUCUGAAGUCUGCGGGAAAUCUGUGCAGCCCAGGUGACUUUGAAAUGGAACCUUGGGAAGUACGAUCCAAGAUGGAUGUGAUGCAUUUGAUUCAGUGUGGAAGAGUGUUAAAUUAAAAUAUUAAAGCUGAGGAAUUCCCGU
rnacentral:lncRNA from 9 species